GCCUGGCUAGCUCAGUCGUUGGAGCACGAGGCUUUUAAUUUCAGGGUUGUGAGUUCAAGCCCCACGAUGGGCU
rnacentral:tRNA from 1 species